rnacentral:rRNA from 1 species
GGGCGCGCGCUACACUGCAGUCGAGCGGAUGAAGUAGCUUGCUACCGGAUUCAGCGGCGGACGGCUGAGUAAUGCUUAGGAAUCUGCCUAUUAGUGGGGGACAACGUUCCGAAAGGAGCGCUAAUACCGCAUACGUCCUACGGGAGAAAGCAGGGGACCUUCGGGCCUUGCGCUAAUAGAUGAGCCUAAGUCGGAUUAGCUAGUUGGGAGGGUAAAGGCCUACCAAGGCGACAAUCUGUAGCGGGUCUGAGAGGAUGAUCCCCCCACCCUGGGACUGAAACACGGCCCAGACUCUUCCGGGAGGCAGCGGUGGGGAAUUUUGCACAAUGGGGGGAACCCUGUUCCAGCCUUGCCCCGUGUGGGAAAAAGGCCUUUUUGCUUGUAAAGACCUUUAAGCCUCGGGGGGGGCUCCCUCAGUUUAAUACUUUUAGGAAAGGGGACGUUAUCCCCCAAAAAAAAUCACCGGGUCUAAUUUUUUGGGCCCCUCUACCCGCGGGGAAUUCCUAAGGGGGGGCCGAGGCGUUUAUCUCGCAUUUUUCGGGGGGGGAAAAGCGGUGUCUUAGUGCCGCCCAAUUUAAAUUCCAAAAUUUUUAAAAUCCCCCCAACCAUUUAACUUUGGAAAAAUUGUUUUCUCUAUCCCUGGGGUUGGUUCAAAUCCAUUGUGGUCAAAGAUAUGGUAAAAUACUUCCCCGGUGUUAGCCCGGGUAAAAAUCUCUCUCAAAUCAUUCUGGAGAGAAAACCCCAAUGGGCCGAAGGGGAGGCCCACUUUGCCUCCUAUAAUCUUGACUCCUUGAUGUGUACCAAAAAACCUGGGGUAGGCUAACAAGGAUUUAUAUCCC